rnacentral:tRNA from 1 species
GCCGCGUUCGUCUAGCUUGGUCUAGGACGCCGGGUUCUCAGUCCGGUAACACGGGUUCAAAUCCCGUACGCGGUA